rnacentral:rRNA from 1 species
GACGGUAUUUAAUGAAUAAGCCCCGGCUAACUAUGUGCCAGCAGCUGCGGUAAUACAUGGGGGGCAAGCGUUAUCCGGAUUUAUUGGGCGUAAAGGGUGCGUAGGCGGUUAAAUAAGUCUAUGGUAUAAGUUCAACGCUUAACGUUGUGAUGCUAUAGAAACUGUUUGACUAGAGUUGGAUAGAGGCAAGUGGAAUUCCAUGUGUAGCGGUAAAAUGCGUAAAUAUAUGGAGGAACACCAGUAGCGAAGGCGGCUUGCUGGGUCUUAACUGACGCUGAGGCACGAAAGCGUGGGGAGCAAACAGGAUUAGAUACCCUGGUAGUCCACGCCGUAAACGAUGAGUACUAAGUGUUGGGUUAAACCAGUGCUGAAGUUAACACAUUAAGUACUCCGCCUGAGUAGUACGUACGCAAGUAUGAAACUUAAAGGAAUUGACGGGACUCCGCACAAGCGGUGGAUCAUGUUGUUUAAUUCGAAGAUACACGAAAAACCUUACCAGGUCUUGACAUACUCUGCAAAGCUAUAGAAAUAUAGUGGAGGUUAUCAGGGAUACAGGUGGUGCAUGGUUGUCGUCAGCUCGUGUCGUGAGAUGUUGGGUUAAGUCCCGCAACGAGCGCAACCCUUAUCACUAGUUACCAUCAUUUAGUUGGGCACUUUAGUGAGACUGCCAAUGAUAAAUUGGAGGAAGGUGGGGAUUACGUCAAAUCAUCAUGCCCCU